GGUUUAUUUCAUGCUGUUGGGUUAAUAUACUAACUAGUCGACGUAUAUAAUAAUAAGAAGAUGUGGUAUCAUAACGAAUGAGACAAUUGUCCAUCAGAUUCAAGACGAAGUACGCCAUCCUUUUAUUCUUUCUAUUAUUUUUUUUCAUUUAUUUUCGUCAAGGAAUUAUUCUUCUUGAAAGCAAUGACUAAUAUGUUUAGGACAAAAUGGU
rnacentral:lncRNA from 1 species